rnacentral:rRNA from 1 species
UACGAAGGGGGCUAGCGUUGCUCGGAAUUACUGGGCGUAAAGGGCGCGUAGGCGGAUAGUUUAGUCAGAGGUGAAAGCCCAGGGCUCAACCUUGGAAUUGCCUUUGAUACUGGCUAUCUUGAGUUCGGGAGAGGUGAGUGGAAUGCCGAGUGUAGAGGUGAAAUUCGUAGAGAUCCGGAAGAACACCGGUGGCGAAGGCGGUCUGCUGGGCAGUAGCUGACACUGAGGCGCGACAGCGUGGGGAGCAAACAGG